GAUGAAGAACGUAGUGAAAUGCGAUAAGUAAUGUGAAUUGCAGAAUUCAGUGAAUCAUCGAAUCUUUGAACGCACCUUGCGCCCUUUGGACAUUCCGAAGGGCAUGCCUGUUUGAGUAUCAUGAACACCUCAACUCUCAUGGCUUGUCUGUGAUGAGCUUGGACUUUGGGGGUCUUGCUGGCCUGUGGUCGGCUCCUCUCAAAUGGAUCAGCUUGCCAGUGUUUGGUGGCAUCACAGGUGUGAUAACUAUCUGCGCUUGUGGUUUUCCAUCAGAUAACCUUCAGUGAUAUGGAGGUUCGCUGGAGCUCACAAAUGUCUCUCCUUAGUGAGGACAGCCCUUUGAACGUUUGAUCUCAAAUCAGGUAGGACUACCCGCUGAACUUAAGCAUAUCAAUAAGCGGAGGA
rnacentral:misc_RNA from 1 species